rnacentral:rRNA from 1 species
AUUGAACGCUGGCGGCAUGCUUUACACAUGCAAGUCGAACGGAUCAGAGGGGCUUGCUCCUCUGGUUAGUGGCGAACGGGUGAGUAAUGCAUCGGAACGUACCGUGUAGUGGGGGAUAACCCGGCGAAAGUCGGAUUAAUACCGCAUACGAUCUACGGAUGAAAGUGGGGGACCGCAGGGCCUCACGCUAUACGAGCGGCCGAUGUCGGAUUAGCUAGUUGGUAGGGGAAAGGCCUACCAAGGCAACGAUCCGUAGCGGGUCUGAGAGGAUGAUCCGCCACACUGGGACUGAGACACGGCCCAGACUCCUACGGGAGGCAGCAGUGGGGAAUUUUGGACAAUGGACGCAAGUCUGAUCCAGCCAUGCCGCGUGAGUGAAGAAGGCCUUCGGGUUGUAAAGCUCUUUUGUCAGGGAGCAAAACCUGUUUCUUAAUACGGAACGGGGAUGAGAGUACCUGAAGAAUAAGGACCGGCUAACUACGUGCCAGCCGCCGCCGUAAGAC